UACGGAAGGUCCGGGCGAUAUCCGGAUUUAUUGGGUUUAAAGGGAGCGUAGGCCGGCUUUUAAGUCAGCGGUAAAAGCCCGGGGCUCAACCCCGGCGAGCCGUUGAAACUGGCGGGCUGGAGUUGGAGAGAAGUACGCGGAAUGCGCGGUGUAGCGGUGAAAUGCUUAGAUAUCGCGCAGAACCCCGAUUGCGAAGGCAGCGUACCGGCUCCACACUGACGCUGAGGCACGAAAGCGUGGGUAUCGAACAGG
rnacentral:rRNA from 1 species